AUUGAACGCUGGCGGCAGGCCUAACACAUGCAAGUCGAGCGGGGUUUUCGGACCUAGCGGCGGACGGGUGAGUAAUGCGUAGGAAGCUACCCGAUAGAGGGGGAUACCAGUUGGAAACGACUGUUAAUACCGCAUAAUGUCUACGGACCAAAGUGUGGGACCUUCGGGCCACAUGCUAUCGGAUGCGCCUACGUGGGAUUAGCUAGUUGGUGAGGUAAUGGCUCACCAAGGCGACGAUCCCUAGCUGGUUUGAGAGGAUGAUCAGCCACACUGGAACUGAGACACGGUCCAGACUCCUACGGGAGGCAGCAGUGGGGAAUAUUGGACAAUGGGCGCAAGCCUGAUCCAGCCAUGCCGCGUGUGGAGAAGGCCUUCGGGUUGUAAAGCACUUUCAGUAGGGAGGAAGGGUUAAGUGUUAAUAGUACUUAACUUUGACGUUACCUACAGAAGAAGCACCGGCUAACUCUGUGCCAGCCGCCGCCGUAACAC
rnacentral:rRNA from 1 species